GGGGGUGUAAAGGUUUCGACGGGGAUUUCGAAACAUGGGCAGCGGGCAGCGGCGGAGAUAACGCUAUAAACUCUCCACAAAAAAUAACUGACAACAAUCCUGUUGCCAUAGCGGCUUAAUGCCGCUCGUCGGGGUCUGUGAGACCGCAUAGCUUAUUCCGGCGUAGAAUUAUGCGGUGAACGUGAGCGGAUCAAAGCUUUGAGAUCCGCCAUGUAAAAUAUGAAGCUACCGGACCUGAAGCAUGUAUGCCUGCGUCAGGCGAGGGAAAUCCAAAGGACAUACUGCGCCCGGAGACACCUGUGCGGACAGAUUUUCGGACAGGAGUUCAAUUCUCCUCACCUCCACCA
rnacentral:tmRNA from 1 species